UCGAACAGAAGGCAGGGGCGACAAAGGGUUUCCUUCAAACCCUAGUUUACACACAAAAUCCUUAAAUUGAAGCCUCAAAUCUGCCCUAAAUCAAGUCUUGAACAUGAAUUAGUGAUCACCUCGUUGUAGGGAUCAAAAAGGUAAAGAAUCUGGGUCGUCAAGUGGACAAGCCGGAGGUGAUACACGCUUAAAGGGUGCGCUUUGAAGGUAAAGAUGCUCUUUAGACCCCGGAGGAUGAUCAAGCCAUGUCAAGAACCGAACACACCGAACAAAGCUUCCGCAUUUUGUCUAUUUUGUUUUAGUGACAUGUAAACACUUGAAAUUAUGUUUUGAAAGUUUAUCUAGCAUGAUGUAGACUUGAAUAUUAUGAUCAAGUAUGAUCUUAAGACCAUGAAGUUUUUUUGUAAACUCGAAAAACUUUUGUACUAAAUGCAUGAUAAAUGUCAUAAAUCCUGUUAUUUUAA